rnacentral:rRNA from 1 species
AGAGUUUGAUCCUGGCUCAGGACGAACGCUGGCGGCGUGCUUAACACAUGCAAGUCACGGGGGCUCAGCAAUGGGCAACCGGCGAACGGGUGCGUAACACGUGAGGAACCUGCCGAUCUGCGGGGGAUAGCCGGCCCAACGGCCGGGUAAUACCGCAUACGCUCUUCUUGGGGAGUCCUGAGGAGAGGAAACCUCCGGGGCAGAUCGAGGGUCUCGCGGCCUAUCAGCUAGUUGGCGAGGUCACGGCUCACCAAGGCGACGACGGGUAGCUGGUCUGAGAGGAUGGCCAGCCACAUUGGGACUGAGAAACGGCCCAGACUCCUACGGGAGGCAGCAGUGGGGAAUCUUGCGCAAUGGUCGAAAGACUGACGCAGCGACGCCGCGUGUGGGAGGACGCCUUUCGGGGUGUAAACCACUGUUGCCCGGGACGAAUAGCUGGUUUCGACCAGCCUGACGGUACCGGGUGAGGAAGCACCGGCUAACUCCGUGCCAGCAGCCGCGGUAAUACGGAGGGUGCGAGCGUUGUCCGGAAUCACUGGGCGUAAAGGGCGCGUAGGCGGCGCGGGGAGUCAACGGUGAAAGCUUGGCGCUCAACGCCGAGUCGGCCGUCGAUACUCCCGUGCUCGAGCACUGUAGAGGCAGGUGGAAUUCCGGGUGUAGCGGUGGAAUGCGUAGAGAUCCGGAAGAACACCGGUGGCGAAGGCGGCCUGCUGGGCAGUAGCUGACGCUGAGGCGCGACAGCGUGGGGAGCAAACAGGAUUAGAUACCCUGGUAGUCCACGCCGUAAACGAUGGGCACUAGGUGCUUGGGGGAGCGACCCUCUGAGUGCCGUCGCUAACGCAUUAAGUGCCCCGCCUGGGGAGUACGGCCGCAAGGCUGAAACUCAAAGGAAUUGACGGGGGCCCGCACAAGCGGUGGAGCAUGUGGUUUAAUUCGACGCCACGCGAAGAACCUUACCUAGGCUUGACAUGCAUG